rnacentral:rRNA from 1 species
UGGGGAAUAUUGCACAAUGGGCGCAAGCCUGAUGCAGCCAUGCCGCGUGUGUGAAGAAGGCCUUCGGGUUGUAAAGCACUUUCAGCGAGGAGGAAGGUGGUGAACUUAAUACGUUCAUCAAUUGACGUUACUCGCAGAAGAAGCACCGGCUAACUCCGUGCCAGCAGCCGCGGUAAUACGGGGGGUGCAAGCGUUAAUCGGAAUUACUGGGCGUAAAGCGCACGCAGGCGGUUUGUUAAGUCAGAUGUGAAAUCCCCGGGCUCAACCUGGGAGCUGCAUUUGAAACUGGCAAGCUAGAGUCUCGUAGAGGGGGGUAGAAUUUCCAGGUGUAGCGGUGAAAUGCGUAGAGAUCUGGAGGAAUACCGGUGGCGAAGGCGGCCCCCUGGANGAAGACUGACGCUCAGGUGCG